GUGCCAGCAGCUGCGGUAAUACGAAGGGGGCUAGCGUUGUUCGGAAUUACUGGGCGUAAAGCGCACGUAGGCGGAUUGUUAAGUGAGGGGUGAAAUCCCAGGGCUCAACCCUGGAACUGCCUUUCAUACUGGCAAUCUUGAGUAUGGAAGAGGUGAGUGGAAUUCCGAGUGUAGAGGUGAAAUUCGUAGAUAUUCGGAGGAACACCAGUGGCGAAGGCGGCUCACUGGUCCAUUACUGACGCUGAGGUGCGAAAGCGUGGGAGCAAAC
rnacentral:rRNA from 1 species